rnacentral:tRNA from 1 species
GGCCAGGUAGCUCAAGUGGUUAGAGCAUUGUCCUGAUACACCAAUGUUUCGGGUUCGAAUCCUGGUCAGGACA